rnacentral:rRNA from 1 species
CCUACGGGAGUCAGCAGUGGGGAAUAUUGGGCAAUGGGCGCAAGCCUGGCCCAGCAACGUCGCGUGAAGGAAGAAGGCUUUCGGGUUGUACACUUCUUUUGACAGGGAAGAGUCGCAGACGGUACCUGUCGAAUAAGCCACGGCUAACUACGUGCCAGCCGCCUCGGUAAUACGUAGGUGGCAAGCGGUUUCCGGAUUUACUGGGUGUAACGGGCGUGUAGCCGGGUUGACAAUUCAGAUGUGAAAUCGUGCGGCUUAACCGCAGAACUGCAUUUGAAACUGUCGAUCUUGAGUACUGGAGAGGCAGACGGAAUUCCUGGUGUAGCGGUGAAAUGCGGAGAUAUUAGGAGGAACACCAGUGGCGAAGGCGGUCUGCUGGACAGCAACUGACGGUGAGGCGCGAAAGCGUGGGGAGCAAACAGGAGUAGAUACCCUGGUAGGC